rnacentral:rRNA from 1 species
AUUGAACGCUGGCGGCAUGCUUUACACAUGCAAGUCGAACGGCAGCGGGGUAGUGCUUGCACUACUGCCGGCGAGUGGCGAACGGGGGAGUAAUAUAUCGGAACGUACCGAGUAAUGGGGGAUAACCAAUCGAAAGAUUGGCUAAUACCGCAUACGUCCUGAGGGAGAAAGCGGGGGAUCGCAAGACCUCGCGUUAUUCGAGCGGCCGAUAACUGAUUAGCUAGUUGGUGGGGUAAAGGCCUACCAAGGCGACGAUCAGUAGCGGGUCUGAGAGGACGAUCCGCCACACUGGGACUGAGACACGGCCCAGACUCCUACGGGAGGCAGCAGUGGGGAAUUUUGGACAAUGGGGGCAACCCUGAUCCAGCCAUGCCGCGUGUAUGAAGAAGGCCUUCGGGUUGUAAAGUACUUUUGUUAGGGAAGAAAAGGGAAGUGCUAAUACCACUUUUUGCUGACGGUACCUAAAGAAUAAGCACCGGCUAACUACGUG